rnacentral:rRNA from 1 species
UACGUAGGGUGCGAGCGUUAAUCGGAAUUACUGGGCGUAAAGCGUGCGCAGGCGGUUUUGUAAGCCAGAUGUGAAAUCCCCCGGGCUUAACCUGGGAAUGGCAUUUGGGACUGCAAGGCUCGAGUGCGGCAGAGGAGACUGGAAUUCCUGGUGUAGCAGUGAAAUGCGUAGAUAUCAGGAGGAACACCGAUGGCGAAGGCAGGUCUCUGGGCUGACACUGACGCUCAUG